AAGACCACAUUAACAGUAUCUGUUCAUUGAAGUUAUCUAAAGAAACUUUUAUCGAUAGAGGCAUUAAAGUACCAUAAAUAUCAGUGAUUUUUGUUUUGUGAUUAGUUUAUAUAAGUGGCCAGUGUAUAUAGUUAUCCAUAUUUUUCCUUUUUGUAAACAGUCCUUUAUUAAUAAGAGCUUUAGUAUGCAUUUAACACGCGUUGGUGUUUUGUUCUUUAAGUAACGUGGUGACAGCGGAGGGAUUACGUUAAUCUAAUUAGUGCUUCGAUAUUUUGUGUUAGUGUGCCUUUUCCGAAGUUGAAAAUGCCGACUGAUGACGCCACUUAGACUCCUCGUCCCGUGCAAGGGAUAAAAUCACCUUCACCACCGGACUUCUCCAAUAAUUCGGCUCAGAAUUGGAAAGUUUUUCCUCACAAAUGGAGGAACUAUUCCAUAAUUACUCGAUUAGCUGAGUAGGAGGAACAAUACAAAGUCGCCCUGCUACAACACACGCUUGGUGAUAAGCUACUCAAAGUGUAUAAUGAGUUUACGUUUACUUCGACUGAGGAGGAACGAACAGAAGGUUAUAUCCUUGCACAGUUUGAAAGGUUUGCCGUUGGAGAAACUAACGAAACCUAUGACCGAUUCGACAACUUAUAAAAACCUGUAAUUACCAUGAAGCGAGUGUUGAUUUUCUACUUCGGAAUCGCAUAGUUCUAGGGAUUCGAGACACCAAAACGCAGAGGAUGUUGUUGAGGGAACAUAAACUAACAUUAGCUAGAGCUAUUGAUAUUUUUAAAGCAAACAAAUCUGCAGACAUUCAAAAAAAACUAUUUCAGGAUGAAAAGUCUGCCUUAUGCGAUGGACGAAAUACCUAUAAAUAAUUAUUUACGUGCCAAAUCACCAAGAAAGACUCUCUCUGUUCAAUCACAUAAUGUGGGAGUUCCCUCUGAAACGGAUUUUAUAAAUCAAGGACCUAUCUCACAAAAAUCUUAUAUCGCUGUGUCGAAUGGGGAUGUCGUUACCCAAAGUGGGUGACUGAGUAAACCACCUGAAAGACUGAACUUGUAGUUGUCGGUGGUUAAUUUAAUUUGUUUUGUUUAUAUGUUUAUUGUAAUAGUAUUUUAAAGAAUGGGAGAUGUUUCGUGAUUAGUUUAUAUAAGUAGUCAGUGUAUAUAGAUGUCCAUGUUUUCCCUUUUUGUAUACAGUCCUUUAUUUAUAAAAGCUUUAGUAUAUAUCUAACACGCGUUGGUGUUUGAUCUUCACGCAAUACUUUUGCCUUAAACUAAUUUUCCUUAACAUAUUUCGGCUUAAAGUAAUUUUUCGCUUAGGAUCUUUCCCCUCAAUAUAUAAAUAAAUUAGAUUUAGGGGUCGUUUAUAUAAGAUUUGGUUGAAAUUGAUGUUCUUUUGGAAUUUUUUAAUCAAAAUAUGUAAUAUCUAAUAAAAAAAUGUAAUUUGCCAGCAAUUUAUUUUAAAGAUAUAUGCAAAAAUAAAUAAAGUACAUGACAAUGAACAGAAUCACCAAGAAUGUAUCUUGGAGAAUCUUCUACAUGUAAAAAAGCAGUAGUGUAGUAUCAUAAUUAAAUAUAAAUCAUAUAUA
rnacentral:lncRNA from 1 species